rnacentral:rRNA from 1 species
GACGAACGCUGGCGGCGUGCUUUACACAUGCAAGUCGAACGGUGAAGGUGGAGCUUGCUCCGCCGGAUCAGUGGCGAACGGGUGAGUAACACGUGGGCAACCUGCCCCUAACUUUGGGAUAACUACUCGAAAGAGUAGCUAAUACCGGAUAUGAAGUCUGUAGGCAUCUAUGGAUUUGGAAAGUUUUUCGGUUAGGGAUGGGCCCGCGGCCUAUCAGCUUGUUGGUGAGGUAGUGGCUCACCAAGGCGACGACGGGUAGCCGGCCUGAGAGGGCGACCGGCCACACUGGGACUGAGACACGGCCCAGACUCCUAAGGGAGGCAGCAGUGGGGAAGAUUGCGCAAUGGGCGAAAGGCUGACGCAGCAACGCCGCGUGCGGGAUGAAGGCCUUCGGGUUGUAAACCGCUUUCAGCAGGGAAGAAGCGAAAGUGACGGUACCUGCAGAAGAAGCACCGGCUAACUACGUGCCAGCCGCCGCAGUAA